rnacentral:rRNA from 1 species
GAUGAACGCUGGCGGCGUGCCUAAUACAUGCAAGUCGAGCGAACAGACGAGGAGCUUGCUCCUCUGACGUUAGCGGCGGACGGGUGAGUAACACGUGGAUAACCUACCUAUAAGACUGGGAUAACUUCGGGAAACCGGAGCUAAUACCGGAUAAUAUAUUGAACCGCAUGGUUCAAUAGUGAAAUACGGUUUUGCUGUCACUUAUAGAUGGAUCCGCGCCGCAUUAGCUAGUUGGUAAGGUAACGGCUUACCAAGGCAACGAUGCGUAGCCGACCUGAGAGGGUGAUCGGCCACACUGGAACUGAGACACGGUCCAGACUCCUACGGGAGGCAGCAGUAGGGAAUCUUACGCAAUGGGCGAAAGCCUGACGGAGCAACGCCGCGUGAGUGAUGAAGGUCUUCGGAUCGUAAAACUCUGUUAUUAGGGAAGAACAAAUGUGUAAGUAACUAUGCACGUCUUGACGGUACCUAGUCAGAAAGCCACGGCUAACUACGUG